UUCCCAAGUGGCCUCGUCCUACGAGUGAUUCAUCCAUAGGACCUUAAUGAAGAGAAUUUCUCUGUUGCGAAGCACCCUGCUCUUUUGGUUCAGAAUAUCAAGUGGUAACUCCUCAUAGGAUAGAUCCUCAUAGAAUAGAAGUGACUCAUAAGACAAGAUAUGUGAGAGGUCUGAGUUAUACUUGCGUAGUAUAGACACAUGGAAUACAUUAUGGACUUUGGAUAAUUCUGUAGGUAGUGCUAAUCUAUAGGUGGACGUUCCAAUCAUGUCCAAGAUCUCAAACGAUCCGAUGAACUAGGGAUUUAACUUCCUUUUCUUUCUAAACUUGUUGAUACCCUUAAAUGGGGUGACCUUAAGGAACACUCGAUCACCCAUCUCAAAUUCCAAAUCUCUCCUUUGGGUAUGCACAUAACUCUUUUGCCUACUCUGGGUUAUCU
rnacentral:lncRNA from 1 species